rnacentral:antisense_RNA from 1 species
CUUCAGCGACCCCAGCCACAGUGGCCGGUCCUCCGGCCGGUCCUGCCCGUAGGUCGCCAUCAGCGCCCGCACCUC